UACGUAGGGUGCAAGCGUUGUCCGGAGUUAUUGGGCGUAAAGAGCUCGUAGGCGGCUUGUCACGUCGGCUGUGAAAACCUGGGGCUCAACCCCGGGCCUGCAGCCGAUACGGGCAAGCUAGAAUUCGGUAGGGGAGACUGGAAUUCCUGGUGUAGCGGUGAAAUGCGCAGAUAUCAGGAGGAACACCGGUGGCGAAGGCGGGUCUCUGGGCCGAUAUUGACGCUGAGGAGCGAAAGCGUGGGGAGCGAACAGG
rnacentral:rRNA from 1 species